UCAGAGGUAGCGAGCAAUUGACAUCCACAUAAAGACUUCGACUCCUCUGCUUUUCAUCGACGCUGUGCUGUUCACCUGGGAUUUACCUCAGAAGAAUUAGAAGAGGGAGAUUUGAAGAUGAGAAAGAUUUUUAACUUUGGAUUCAGCCAGACCCCAAACAUCAUCAUCUCCUGCGCGGCACCACCACAUCCUAACAUAUAAAGACAGGAUUGGACUUCAACAACACUCCCUCUAGUGGACAGAAGCUCCAUCACACACACACACGUGUGUGUGUGUGUGUGUGUGUGUGUGUGUGUGUGUGUGUGUGGGGGCUUCCUUGCUAGAAUACGUUUCUGAAGGGCAGAUUGCGCUUGCGCCGCCCUAUCCCUGACCUCAGACCUGUGUGGAGUUGUGCUUUCACUCUAAAAGCUAUUUCAUUUUCCAUCCCAUGAGCACUUCGGUCAUGUACUGCAAGAAACCCGAAGCUCUGGUGAUUGUGUCCUCGGCUGGCGUUGGAUCGUGACGGAUCUGAACCCUUGGCUCCGCUGAUCUGAUGUCUUGUGUUCAUUAUAACAGAGUAAAACUCUGGAUCUUUUAUUUCUCUUAAGUUGGCCUUUUAGUUAAGAUUUCGUAUCGAAUUCAAGGACUCAAAUAGUUUAUCCUGCUUUUGCUUUCUAGAGCCUUUGCAAUAUUUGGUCAUGUACAUUUAUAUUUGUAUGGAUCAUAUCUCGCCAGAAGUGACAACAAAAAAGUCCAUAGUUUCUCAUAAGCUGCUUUCACAGCUGGCGGGUAUAGGGUUAGCAGUGUGUGUAACACAGUCUCAUCCCAAAUCGUCAUAUAACUGACGUUUUGGGACGUAUUUUGACCA